UACAGAGGUGGCAAGCGUUGUUCGGAAUUACUGGGCGUAAAGGGCGCGUAGGCGGCCUUCUUAGUCGGACGUGAAAUCCCCAGGCUUAACUUGGGAACUGCGUCCGAUACUGGAGGGCUCGAGUGCGGGAGAGGGAUGUGGAAUUCCAGGUGUAGCGGUGAAAUGCGUAGAUAUCUGGAGGAACACCGGUGGCGAAGGCGGCAUCCUGGACCGACACUGACGCUGAGGCGCGAAAGCUAGGGGAGCAAACGGG
rnacentral:rRNA from 1 species